CGGGGUGAGUAACGCGUGGGUAACCUGCUUAUACAGGGGAGUAACAGUUGGAAACGGCUGCUAAUACCGCAUAAGCGCACGGCAUCGCAUGAUGCAGUGUGAAAAACUCCGGUGGUAUAAGAUGGACCCGCGUUGGAUUAGCUAGUUGGUGAGGUAACGGCCCACCAAGGCGACGAUCCAUAGCCGACCUGAGAGGGUGACCGGCCACAUUGGGACUGAGACACGGCCCAA
rnacentral:rRNA from 1 species